rnacentral:snoRNA from 1 species
GGAAAUGAUGAGAUAUAUUUUGGAAUCUCGUUCGUCUGAACUGCUGUUGAUAAAAAAUUUAUAUCUGAAGUCA